rnacentral:ribozyme from 12 species
GCAUAGUGUUACCAUCAACAACCUUAACUUCAUUUACUUAUUCAAUGGCCAGGUAGGUAGAUGCUAGAUUCUAGAAAUAAAAUACAAGUUUCAAGUGGCCCUUGUCCCCUCUCCUACUCAAAUUCUGAAUCUAGUUGGCAAGUUUCCGAAAUCAAGGCAUAUAGUCAGUGAUGAUAGAAG